UCCAAGUGCAAUGAGUAGUAGUGGUAUCAUAGCUCAAAAUGAAAGACAACGAAGUUUAGUUCUUACCAUCAUGCAGGUCCCUGCACGGACAUUGCAGACGGGAUAUUCCUGGGGGCAGCAGCUAUCAUGAUCUUCACAGCAGGUGGCAGCCUCAAGUGGGCAGCAUCCCCAUUGAAAGCAAUACUUAGCAUACUCAAAGAUGCAGCAGCAGGUGCUGCUCUCAGGACAUGCGUAGUAGUUAUCACAGACAGUUGGGGGCUUUAUUGGAGAGGGAGGAGACGGGCCAGGGUUGGGCGGGUUUUGGCCUUUUUUGAUAGGGUAAGAGGCUUCCAUAGCAAUUCCACACUUCCCUGUCGCACUAGUAG
rnacentral:lncRNA from 1 species